UUGCUAUCUUAGUGGCGGACGGGUGAGUAACGCGUGGGUAACCUGCCUUACACUGGGGGAUAACACUUAGAAAUAGGUGCUAAUACCGCAUAACAGUAGGAGACGCAUGUCUUUUACUUGAAAACUCCGGUGGUGUAAGAUGGACCCGCGUCUGAUUAGCUUGUUGGCGGGGUAACGGCUCACCAAGGCAACGAUCAGUAGCCGGCCUGAGAGGGUGAACGGCCACAUUGGGACUGAGACACGGCCCAAACUCCUACGGAAGGCAGCAG
rnacentral:rRNA from 1 species